CAGGGAUCGAAGUGUCUGGGCUGCCAUGACAACAGUUAGAGGAAGAAGCUACUGCUAAUCUAGAUCAGAUACAGAAAAAGCCUUUGGUGCAGACUACCAACUCACUCUGGCUCGCUAGCUGCAAGUGUGCUGAGCUACCAGUCUGAUCUGAGCAGGUGGACCAUUGUCAGCACGAGACACAGUCAUUCCUGGCACCAGGCUUGCAGUGCGCUGCUGAAAUCACCACACCCUCUACCACGCCCUUCCUCCCUCUGGGGCACAUGGGCAUCCACGAACAGAGCACAGCAGCUUGGUGGUGUAUCCCACGGUGGCAGCCCGGUCACUUAGAGCGGUGGUGAACUUGGGCGCCUCACUGAAGUCGUGCUCCUGGUACUCAGGUGGCUUAUAGACAAUACCUGUG